GAUGAACGCUGGCGGCGUGCUUAACACAUGCAAGUCGAACGAAGCAUUUGCGACAGAUUUUUUCGGAAUGAAGUUGCUUAUGACUGAGUGGCGGACGGGUGAGUAACGCGUGGGUAACCUGCCUUGUACUGGGGGAUAGCAGCUGGAAACGGCUGGUAAUACCGCAUAAGCGCACAAUGUUGCAUGACAUGGUGUGAAAAACUCCGGUGGUAUAAGAUGGACCCGCGUCUGAUUAGCUAGUUGGUGAGAUAACAGCCCACCAAGGCGACGAUCAGUAGCCGACGUGAGAGGGUGACCGGCCACAUUGGGACUGAGACACGGCCCAGACUCCUACGGGAGGCAGCAGUGGGGAAUAUUGCACAAUGGAGGAAACUCAGAUGCAGCGACGCCGCGUGAGUGAAGAAGUAAUUCGUUAUGUAAAGCUCUAUCAGCAGGGAAGAUAGUGACGGUACCUGACUAAGAAGCUCCGGCUAAAUACGUG
rnacentral:rRNA from 1 species